rnacentral:lncRNA from 1 species
GAGAGCAACACGGGGAGCGCGAGCGAGCGGGCGAGCGAGAGACGGGGGGAGAGAGAGGGACACGCGCGCGCACACACACACACACCGGCACACACGCACACACACAGACACACACACACAGAGUGAAAAAGGCGAGCCACCAAAACCCAUCUCCAGUCUCCUCCCGGGGGCCCCCAGCCCGCCUCUGUGCCACUUUGCAUCCCACGCCGGAGGAGGCAUUAACGAGACCGGGCUUUUUAAACGGUCCAAGGUGUAGAGCCAUACUUCAGGAGGAUCCUCAGAAGUUUUGGACAAGCCUCCCCAAAUGUGGCAGGUGCUGUGCUGGCCAUUGGUGACCCAAAGAUGAUGAAAAAUAUGUUCCUGCCCACAAGGAGUUAGCGACCUACUGGGCUUUCCUCUUGCUGAUGACAUGAUUCCUGUUUGAAUCUGUUGACAAGAUUCUGAAAGCUGAACAGAGAAUUCUGGCACUGCACUGGGUAGGAAAAAGCAUUUCAAGAAAUAGAUAAUAUCAAGGACAUCAGGACACCGGGAGUGGGAGAGAUUGGACUGGGAGACUCAGCAGCAGGUGUCCGGGGAACAAGGCUGGAGCACAGGGACUGGAAGCUCCGUCAGCUGAUGGUGAGCAGUGGUCACACUGCUAAACUGGCCUGGAGCAGCAGGAAGCCUUGGCACAAG